rnacentral:rRNA from 1 species
CGUGAAGGCGGUUUGUUAAGUCAACUGUGAAAUUGCUCGGCUUAACUGAGCAUGUGCAGAUGAAACUGGCGAACUAGAGUACAGAAGAGAAGAGUGGAAUUCUCGGAGUAGCGGUAAAAUGCGUAGAUCUCGAGAGGAACACCGGUUGCGAAGGCGGCUCUUUGGUCUGUAACUGACGCUAAAGCGCGAAAGCGUGGGGAGCAAACAGGAUUAGAUACCCUGGUAGUCCACGCCGUAAACGAUGAUCACUGGAUGUGGGUUCUGCUUAGCAGGAUCUGUGUCGAAGCUAACGCGUUAAGUGAUCCGCCUGAGUACUACGGUCGCAAGAUUAAA